AGAACGAACGCUGGCGGCAUGCCUAAUACAUGCAAGUCGAACGAACUCUUCGGAGUUAGUGGCGCACGGGUGCGUAACGCGUGGGAAUCUGCCCUUGGGUUCGGAAUAACAGUUGGAAACGACUGCUAAUACCGGAUGAUGACGAAAGUCCAAAGAUUUAUCGCCCAGGGAUGAGCCCGCGUAGGAUUAGCUAGUUGGUGAGGUAAAGGCUCACCAAGGCGACGAUCCUUAGCUGGUCUGAGAGGAUGAUCAGCCACACGUGGGACUGAGACACGGCCCAGACUCCGUACGGGAG
rnacentral:rRNA from 1 species